UACAGGGGGAGCAAGCGUUGUUCGGAUUUACUGGGCGUAAAGGGCGCGUAGGCGGCCACUGCAAGUCAGUUGUGAAAUCUCCGGGCUUAACCCGGAAAGGUCAACUGAUACUGCAGGGCUAGAGUGCAGAAGGGGCAACUGGAAUUCUCGGUGUAGCGGUGAAAUGCGUAGAUAUCGAGAGGAACACCUGCGGCGAAGGCGGGUUGCUGGGCUGACACUGACGCUGAUGUGCGAAAGCUAGGGGAGCGAACGGG
rnacentral:rRNA from 1 species